GGUCCACAGUCGUCGCUACCUUCUGCAGUCUCUACAAAAUGGAGUCAGAAAAAGAAGUCAACAGAGGGUUUGAGAACUACUAAAUCAGUAGUCCUCGAUGGGUGCAUCAUCUACAACUAUAACCGGCCCACUAGGUCCACUAGAGGCGUAAGCGCGGUAAAGAACAGGUAAUAGCUGCUGAAAAGAAAACUACCACUACUUUGCCUCUACACUAGUAUGGAAUGAGCAAGUAUAAAUGGAAUGAUAUGCAUCAAUUAUAAUAAUCU
rnacentral:lncRNA from 1 species